UACGGGGGGAGCAAGCGUUGUUCGGAUUUACUGGGCGUAAAGGGCGCGUAGGCGGCCACCGCAAGUCGACUGUGAAAUCUCCGGGCUUAACUCGGAAAGGUCAGCCGAUACUGCGGGGCUAGAGUGCAGAAGGGGCAACUGGAAUUCUCGGUGUAGCGGUGAAAUGCGUAGAUAUCGAGAGGAACACCUGUGGCGAAGGCGGCCCCCUGGUUGGAUACUGACGCUGAUACGCGAAAGCGUGGGGAGCAAACAGG
rnacentral:rRNA from 1 species